rnacentral:rRNA from 1 species
GUCGGUAGGCAUUGGUUACGGCGUGCCUGCGGAGGAUCAUUA